CUAUAGCUCAGUGGUAGAGC
rnacentral:siRNA from 1 species